rnacentral:rRNA from 1 species
GAUGAACGCUGACAGAAUGCUUAACACAUGCAAGUCUACUUGAUCCUUCGGGUGAUGGUGGCGGACGGGUGAGUAACGCGUAAAGAACUUGCCCUGCAGUCUGGGACAACAUUUGGAAACGAAUGCUAAUACCGGAUAUUAUGCGAGAUUCGCAUGUUUCUCGUAUGAAAGCUAUAUGCGCUGCAGGAGAGCUUUGCGUCCUAUCAGCUAGUUGGUGAGGUAACGGCUCACCAAGGCGAUGAUAGGUAGCCGGCCUGAGAGGGUGAACGGCCACAAGGGGACUGAGACACGGCCCUUACUCCUACGGGAGGCAGCAGUGGGGAAUAUUGGACAAUGGACCAAAAGUCUGAUCCAGCAAUUCUGUGUGCACGAUGAAGUUUUUCGGAAUGUAAAGUGCUUUCAGUUGGGACGAAGUAAGUGACGGUACCAACAGAAGAAGCGACGGCUAAAUACGUGCCAGCAGCCGCGGUAAUACGUAUGUCGCAAGCGUUAUCCGGAUUUAUUGGGCGUAAAGCGCGUCUAGGCGGUUUGGUAAGUCUGAUGUGAAAAUGCGGGGCUCAACUCCGUAUUGCGUUGGAAACUGUCAAACUAGAGUACUGGAGAGGUGGGCGGAACUACAAGUGUAGAGGUGAAAUUCGUAGAUAUUUGUAGGAAUGCCGAUGGGGAAGCCAGCCCACUGGACAGAUACUGACGCUAAAGCGCGAAAGCGUGGGUAGCAAACAGGAUUAGAUACCCUGGUAGUCCACGCCGUAAACGAUGAUUACUAGGUGUUGGGGGUCGAACCUCAGCGCCCAAGCUAACGCGAUAAGUAAUCCGCCUGGGGAGUACGUACGCAAGUAUGAAACUCAAAGGAAUUGACGGGGACCCGCACAAGCGGUGGAGCAUGUGGUUUAAUUCGACGCAACGCGAGGAACCUUACCAGCGUUUGACAUCCUAGGAAGUUGGCAGAGAUGCCUUCGUGCCCCUUCGGGGGAACCUAGUGACAGGUGGUGCAUGGCUGUCGUCAGCUCGUGUCGUGAGAUGUUGGGUUAAGUCCCGCAACGGGCGCAACCCCUUUCGUAUGUUGCCAUCAUUAAGUUGGGAACUCAUGCGAUACUGCCUGCGAUGAGCAGGAGGAAGGUGGGGAUGACGUCAAGUCAUCAUGCCCCUUAUACGCUGGGCUACACACGUGCUACAAUGGGUAGUACAGAGAGUCGCUAACCUGCGAGGGGGAGCUAAUCUCAGAAAACUAUUCUCAGUUCGGAUUGUACUCUGUAACUCGAGUACAUGAAGUUGGAAUCGCUAGUAAUCGCAAAUCAGCUAUGUUGCGGUGAAUACGUUCUCGGGUCU